rnacentral:rRNA from 1 species
GCUGCAACUCGCCUACAUGAAGCUGGAAUUGCUAGUAAUCACAGGUCAGCAUACUGUGGUGAAUACGUUCCCGGGCCUUGUACACACCGCCCGUCACACCAUGAGAGUUGAGAAUACCCGAAGUCCAUGUCAAAGUGGCCGAAGGUAGGCUUGAUGAUUGGGGUGAAGUCGUAACAAGGUAUC